rnacentral:rRNA from 1 species
AGAACGAACGCUGGCGGCAUGCCUAACACAUGCAAGUCGAACGCUCUUGGGGCUUCGGUCUCAGGGGAGUGGCGCACGGGUGAGUAGCGCGUGGGAACCUGCCCUGUUGUGGGGGAUAACCGAGGGAAACUUCGGCUAAUACCGCAUAAGCCGGUUGUCUUGAAGGAGAUGGCCGGGAAAGAUUUAUCGCGACAGGAGGGGCCCGCGUCGGAUUAGCUAGUUGGUGGGGUAACGGCCCACCAAGGCGGUGAUCCGUAGCUGGUCUGAGAGGAUGAUCAGCCACACUGGGACUGAGACACGGCCCAGACUCCUACGGGAGGCAGCAGUGGGGAAUAUUGGACAAUGGGCGCAAGCCUGAUCCAGCAAUGCCGCGUGAGUGAUGAAGGCCUUAGGGUUGUAAAGCUCUUUCGCCCGCGACGAUGAUGACGGUAGCGGGAGAAGAAGCCCCGGCUAACUUCGCGCCAGCAGCCGC